ensembl:snoRNA
AUCCUUCCGGUUCAUAGCGAAUGAUGAAUGGGAGUGGCACGCGGCUGCGUGACGUGUGCGCCCUGUAGUUACGACGUGGCACAGUUCCCUUCUGAGC